rnacentral:tRNA from 1 species
UAGAAAGUGGUGUAAUGGAAGCACCGGGAGUUUUGGUCCCCCGAGCAUGGGUUCGAGCCCCUUCUUUCUAA